rnacentral:rRNA from 1 species
AUUGAACGCUGGCGGCAUGCCUUACACAUGCAAGUCGAACGGCAGCACGGGGGCAACCCUGGUGGCGAGUGGCGAACGGGUGAGUAAUGCAUCGGAACGUGCCCAGUAGUGGGGGAUAACUAGUCGAAAGAUUAGCUAAUACCGCAUACGACCUAUGGGUGAAAGCGGGGGAUUCGCAAGAACCUCGCGCUAUCGGAGCGGCCGAUGUCUGAUUAGCUAGUUGGCGGGUAAAGCCCACCAAGGCUUCGAUCAGUAGCUGGUCUGAGAGGACGACCAGCCACACUGGGACUGAGACACGGCCCAGACUCCUACGGGAGGCAGCAGUGGGGAAUUUUGGACAAUGGGCGCAAGCCUGAUCCAGCCAUGCCGCGUGCGGGAAGAAGGCCU